rnacentral:rRNA from 1 species
UACAGAGGUCUCAAGCGUUGUUCGGAUUCAUUGGGCGUAAAGGGUGCGUAGGUGGUCCGUUAAGUCAGUUGUGAAAUCCCCGGGCUCAACCCGGGAACUGCUUCUGAUACUGGCGGACUUGAGGCCAGUAGGGGUCACUAGAACUGACGGUGGAGCGGUGAAAUGCGUAGAUAUCGUCAGGAAUGCCGGUGGUGAAGACGGGUGACUGGGCUGGUUCUGACACUGAGGCACGAAAGCGUGGGGAGCGAACGGG